AUGGUACUCCCUCCGUUCGGAAUUACUUGUCACAAAAAUGGAUGUAUCUACAACUAAAAUACAUCUAGAUAUGUUCAUUUCUUCGACAAGUAAUUCCGAACGGAGGGAGUAAGUC
rfam:Triticum aestivum genome assembly, contig: Triticum_aestivum_CS42_TGACv1_scaffold_329978_4BS